GGGGAUUAUUCCACCAGCGCUGACACCAUAGAGCAGUUGGCCUGCUCUGUACUUGUAAGUACGUUUUUUUAUCUUAUCCUACUAUAUACAUCCAUACAGAGAGCACUAUCUGGCUUGUUUCUGUUCUCUUUGAGUUUCUGGAUACCACUGAAGAAUCGAUACUCACCGCACGUCCCAUAAGCGGGGACUAUACCGCUGUAUGCGCUUUACCCUAGAGCUGGACAGAAGCUCUUAGAAAUUGUGAGUUCGCUACUUUUAUUUUACUCCACUUGAACCAUACAUAUUGCACUAUCGGUUUUUCUCUCUUUUUAUCUUUUAU